rnacentral:lncRNA from 1 species
UGGAGUGCUGGAUCCGCUUUGCCUGGUUUACUAUGGCUUCAACAACAUCUGGAUGGCAGUGCCCACAACAAACUGUUGCAAUGCCACCGAAAGCAUCCAGGUAACGACGGCCAUCCUCAUCAAAUAGGUACUGCAUCUUUCCUUCGACUAUGUUCAACUGCAAUAAAUAUCACAUUAUUAAAUGAUCAGCUGAAAUGCAAUAUUGCUGUGGCACUGACGAUGACUUU